CCUACGGGAGGCAGCAGUGAGGAAUAUUGGUCAAUGGACGGAAGUCUGAACCAGCCAAGUAGCGUGAAGGAUGACUGCCCUAUGGGUUGUAAACUUCUUUUAUAAAAGAAUAAAACGAGGCACGUGUGCCUUUUUGUAUGUACUUUAUGAAUAAGGAUCGGCUAACUCCGUGCCAGCAGCCGCGGUAAUACGGAGGAUCCGAGCGUUAUACGGAUUUAUUGGGUUUAAAGGGAGCGUAGAUGGCUUGUUAAGUCAGUUGUGAAAGUUUGCGGCUCAACCGUAAAAUUGUAAUUGAUACUGGCCGUCUUGAGUACAGUUGAGGUAGGCGGAAUGCGUGGUGUAGCGGUGAAAUGCUUAGAGAUCACGAAGAACUCCGAUUGCGAAGGCAGCUUACUAAGCUGCCACUGACAUUGAGGCUCGAAAGUGUGGGUAUCAAACAGGAUUAGAUACCCCUGUAGUC
rnacentral:rRNA from 1 species